rnacentral:rRNA from 1 species
AUGAACGCUAGCUACAGGCUUAACACAUGCAAGUCGAGGGGCAGCAUGGUCUUAGCUUGCUAAGGCCGAUGGCGACCGGCGCACGGGUGAGUAACACGUAUCCAACCUGCCGUCUACUCUUGGACAGCCUUCUGAAAGGAAGAUUAAUACAAGAUGGCAUCAUGAGUCCGCAUGUUCACAUGAUUAAAGGUAUUCCGGUAGACGAUGGGGAUGCGUUCCAUUAGAUAGUAGGCGGGGUAACGGCCCACCUAGUCUUCGAUGGAUAGGGGUUCUGAGAGGAAGGUCCCCCACAUUGGAACUGAGACACGGUCCAAACUCCUACGGGAGGCAGCAGUGAGGAAUAUUGGUCAAUGGGCGAGAGCCUGAACCAGCCAAGUAGCGUGAAGGAUGACUGCCCUAUGGGUUGUAAACUUCUUUUAUAAAGGAAUAAAGUCGGGUAUGGAUACCCGUUUGCAUGUACUUUAUGAAUAAGGAUCGGCUAACUCCGUGCCAGCAGCCGCGGUAAUACGGAGGAUCCGAGCGUUAUCCGGAUUUAUUGGGUUUAAAGGGAGCGUAGAUGGAUGUUUAAGUCAGUUGUGAAAGUUUGCGGCUCAACCGUAAAAUUGCAGUUGAUACUGGAUAUCUUGAGUGCAGUUGAGGCAGGCGGAAUUCGUGGUGUAGCGGUGAAAUGCUUAGAUAUCACGAAGAACUCCGAUUGCGAAGGCAGCCUGCUAAGCUGCAACUGACAUUGAGGCUCGAAAGUGUGGGUAUCAAACAGGAUUAGAUACCCUGGUAGUCCACACGGUAAACGAUGAAUACUCGCUGUUUGCGAUAUACUGCAAGCGGCCAAGCGAAAGCGUUAAGUAUUCCACCUGGGGAGUACGCCGGCAACGGUGAAACUCAAAGGAAUUGACGGGGGCCCGCACAAGCGGAGGAACAUGUGGUUUAAUUCGAUGAUACGCGAGGAACCUUACCCGGGUUUAAAUUGCAGAUGAAUUACGGUGAAAGCCGUAAGCCGCAAGGCAUCUGUGAAGGUGCUGCAUGGUUGUCGUCAGCUCGUGCCGUGAGGUGUCGGCUUAAGUGCCAUAACGAGCGCAACCCUUGUUGUCAGUUACUAACAGGUUCCGCUGAGGACUCUGACAAGACUGCCAUCGUAAGAUGUGAGGAAGGUGGGGAUGACGUCAAAUCAGCACGGCCCUUACGUCCGGGGCUACACACGUGUUACAAUGGGGGGUACAGAGGGCCGCUACCACGCGAGUGGAUGCCAAUCCCCAAAACCUCUCUCAGUUCGGACUGGAGUCUGCAACCCGACUCCACGAAGCUGGAUUCGCUAGUAAUCGCGCAUCAGCCACGGCGCGGUGAAUACGUUCCCGGGCCUUGUACACACCGCCCGUCAAGCCAUGGGAGCCGGGGGUACCUGAAGUGCGUAACCGCGAGGAGCGCCCUAGGGUAAAACUGGUGACUGGGGCU